UACGUAGGGGGCAAGCGUUGUCCGGAAUCAUUGGGCGUAAAGAGCGUGUAGGCGGCCCGAUAAGUCCGCUGUGAAAGUCCAGGGCUCAACCCUGGAAUGCCGGUGGAUACUGUCGGGCUCGAAUCCGGAAGAGGUGAGUGGAAUUCCUGGUGUAGCGGUGAAAUGCGCAGAUAUCGUAAGGAAGACCAGUGGCGAAGGCGGGUCUCUGGACAGUUCCUGACGCUCAGGUGCGAAAGCUAGGGGAGCGAACAGG
rnacentral:rRNA from 1 species